GAUGAACACUGGCGGCGUGCCUAAUACAUGCAAGUCGGGCGAAUGGAUUAAGAGCUUGCUCUUAUGAAGUUAGCGGCGGACGGGUGAGUAACACGUGGGUAACCUGCCCAUAAGACUGGGAUAACUCCGGGAAACCGGGGCUAAUACCGGAUAACAUUUUGAACCGCAUGGUUCGAAAUUGAAAGGCGGCCUCGGCUGUCAAUUAUGGAUGGACCCGCUGCGCAUUAGCUAGUUGGUGAGGUAACGGCUCACCAAGGCAACGAUGCGUAGCCGACCUGAGAGGGUGAUCGGCCACACUGGGACUGAGACACGGCCCAGACUCCUACGGGAGGCAGCUGUAGGGAAUCUUCCGCAAUGGACGAAAGUCUGACGGAGCAACGCCGCGUGAGUGAUGAAGGCUUUCGGGUCGUAAAACUCUGUGGGGAGGGACGAACCGCUGAACGUUCAUAGCGUCCAGCAUGACGGUACCUCCUCAGCAAGCACCGGCUAACUUCGUGCCAGCCGCCGCGGUAA
rnacentral:rRNA from 1 species